rnacentral:sRNA from 1 species
GACUACCAGUAUGACACCCCCGGGCUCUGGGAGCUGGUGAGGCCCAGCCCAGGAAGUAGGCCUCAGGGGAGGGGAUGUGGGGAAGACGCUACCCCUAGCUUGCCUUGUGAUUCUGCACUGGGAGGGGUGAGGGGCAGGGUGGAGUCUGCAGCCCCACACCGGCCUUGCCCCUGGAAUCUGGCAAGGCAGAGGGCUGAGCUGGGCAGGGUGGGCUCCAUAGACUGCCUUGCCCUUGGUGCCUGCAGGAAGAGGUGACUUCGGGGGCAAGCUCCUGCCCCUGUGUGGAGAGCGUUCAGGGCUCCACGUUGAUGCCGGUCCAUGUGGAGCGGGAAAUCCGGCUGCUAGGCAGGAACCUGCACCUUUUCCAGGACGGCCCAGGAGACAAUGAGUGUGUGAUGGAGCUGGAGGGCCUCGAGGUGGUGGUUGAGGCCCGGGUCGAGUGUGAGCCACCUCCAGAUACCCAGUGCCAUGUCACCUGCCAGCAGCACCAGCUCAGCUAUGAGGCUCUGCAGCCAGAGCUCCGUGUGGGGCUGUUUCUGCGUCGGGCCGGCCGUCUGCGUGUGGACAGUGCUGAGGGGCUGCAUGUGGUACUAUAUGACUGUUCCGUGGGACAUGGAGACUGCAGCCGCUGCCAAACUGCCAUGCCCCAGUAUGGCUGUGUG